GGCCUCUAGCAACCACAAGUAUUAAAGGUCAAACCUGCCCAGUGAAUUAAUUUUUUAACGGCCGCGGUAUCCUAACCGUGCAAAGGUAGCAUAAUCACUUGUCCCCUAAAUAGGGACUUGUAUGAACGGUCAAAUGAGGGCCUAACUGUCUCCUGCCGCCGAUCAAUGAAAUUGAUCUUACAGUACAAACGCUGUAAUAUAACUAUAAGACGAGAAGACCCUGUGGAGCUUUAAACUACUACAUUAACUAAAUAAUACUACCCAUUAAUAGAAUAACGUAAAUUUUAAGUUGGGGCGACUAUGGAGUACAAAAAAACCUCCACACAACGCGACUAACCGUCGCUCGCAAGGCAGACACGCCUAGCCAAAUAAACGACCCAGUAAAACUGAUUAUUGAACCAAGUUACCCCAGGGAUAACAGCGCAAUCCCCUUAAAGAGUCCACAUCGCCAAGGGGGUUUACGACCUCGAUGUUGGAUCAGGACUCCCAAGUGGUGAAGCCGCUACUAAAGGUUCGUUUGUUCAACGAUUAAUGUCCU
rnacentral:rRNA from 1 species